ensembl:lncRNA
GUCGGUCGUACGGCGUCCUGAACUUCAUGCCAUGCGGGGACUGCGGUGUUGCCCGCUGUGAGUGCUGGGACUGCUGUGUUUCACCGGAGAACUUCGUGAACCGUCCAGUCUCUGCUCCAGUCUUCAUGAACUGCCAGCAAAAGUCAACAGAGGCAAAAAAAAGGGAAACACUUCUGAUGUCAGUCCUACAGUGGUUCAGGUCAUAUCUUACAACAUAUCAGUGGCUGGAGACACCAAAACCACACGAGAAAUCUACAACUUCCUCCAUCUCCACCAACAUUUCAUCUCAUCUGAACCUCCCACCAAUUAUGAACAAGCUGGUUUCAGCUGGGAUCAGGCUGUAGCCAUCUCUGUCAGCCCUUCUACCUUCGGUGAAAUAUUGGCCCAGCUUCUCCUCCACACUCAACUACUGCCACAGGGACCCAACAGCCCUCCUGCCCCAUCACAGUCACCAGUCACAGAUAAACUAUUAAACAUAGCUUCCUCAACACCUGCACCACCUUAAAGAAAGAGGCAAACUCUUCAACCACCAGAAAGGCAGCUUUGCUGUCUACCUCAUUGUCAACAGGAGCUCCACUCACCCUCCUCUGCUGAAAGGGAAAAGGUCACAUCAUUUCCAAGUAAUCCGGCAAACUGAUAUUUUUCACCUCAGUGCUGCUACAGUGAUGUCAGUAGUACGUGUUUUCAAAACAAGCUCGGACCCUGUGCUCCAGAAAUCUGUUCAUUUCGGUGCUUAGGAUCCCACCCUUCAGACCCUUCCUCACCCGAGAGGCUGCCCAGUUGCUAGUGCAGUCUCUUGUCAUCUCAAGGCUCGACUUAUGCAACUCGCUCUUGGCUGGUCUUCUCAUGCAGGCCAUCAACGCUACCUACUUGAUGGCAAAGGUGACGUGAAUAUUAUUGAAAAUCUGUGGUGUGAUUCAAAGUGGGCUGUCCAUGCUCGGAAACCAUCAAACCCGACUGAACUGGAGAUGUUUUGUAAAGAAGAAUGGUCCAAAAUACCUUAAACCAGAAUCCAGACUUUUUCUGUUGGGGUGCCCAAACUUAUGCACCUGCCUAAUUUUGUUUAAAUAAUUAUUGCACACUUUCUGUAAAUCCUAUAAACUUUCUUUUCCUAUAAAAAUUUCACUUCUCAAAUAUCAAUGUGUUCGUCUGCUAUAUGAUAUAUUUUUAACUGAAAUUGUUGAUCCGAACAACCAAUGAUUGACCUAUCAGCACAAACCUCCAUCCUAAUCAGGAGG